UUAAUUGAGACUAUAAUAUUGUGGUUUACUCGGCCAUAUUUUGAGAGUAUAAUAUCAUAUUUCAUCCACAAUUGUAGUAAAUUUACCUUAACUAUACAAUUUAAAACCUUGGAAUGGAUUCCAUGAAUAGGAACCAGCAUCAUCACCUUCAAGAGGGUAUCAUGCUUCUUCUUUCCCGCUGGUAUGCCCUUCAAAUGGCCAUUAAGAACCAAUGGGGUGGCUCUGAUUCCCUCCAGAAAUCUCACCACCUUGCUUCUCAUAUUUUCUCUUUGUUCUCCACAUCCAAUGGUCAUUUACUUCUUCUCUCUUAAGAGUUUUCUUUGCAUUAUUGGUUCAUUCAAUUAAGUUAUAUGGUAGCCUCCAAUUACUCGACAGAGAGAAACCAAGAAAAAUUAUAGACAAAACUAUUAAUAAUGAUUUGUUAUAAAUAUGAUUUAUCACAUAACAUGAUAUUGAUUUAUGACAUAAAAACAUGUUUUCCACUUGGUUGUAAACUGAACAAUGUUAUCGGACACAUCUUUAUCAUUGAUUUCGGAGAGAAAAAAAAGGGUAUUAUAAUGUUAAAUUAUAGCUGCAUGAUCUAAUUCAUUGAUAAAGAUGUGCCUCACACUAAUAUACAAUCCAAUAAACUCUCAUCAAAGAGGUUUGAUUGUUGUUAUAUUAUUGACUGAUUCAGUUUCACAUUUUUUUAGUUCUAUUUUUCUCUUGUUCCAAUUUUACUAUUUCUCAUGUCUGAUAUGUAUGCUUUGUUAUUACAGCACCGGUUCCUGUUGAAGAUUUGGAAAAUCUGCUCCAUGAAUCCAUGCUGCUCACAUUCAACACUGAGAUUGAAGAUGGCAGCAUAGAAGAGGUAUAAAAUCAAUAGGAAAUAAUGAGAAAUCAUAUUUUUGAACCAAUCACAAAGGGUGAUACAGAUUGUGGUACAAAAAAGUGAGAGAGAAAAUAUUAUCCCACAAUUAAUACAUACAUAUAUAUACUCUUUAACUUACUCCUAUGUUGCAUGUUCACGUUAUUAACAUCUGUUCCUUGUAUUUGUAACUUUUCCAAAUGUUAGAUUUUAACCAAUGUUACUUUACCAAAUGUUGGAUGUUAAUCAAUGUUUUUGUCCAUUUACUAUGCCUUUUUAUGCUGUGACGUUAGCAUCCUUAGGAUUCUGCUAAUGGUUUAUAGUAUUGCAAGCAGGUAGCAGAACAGUUAAUGGGUAUCCAUGAAGAAUACUUGUUACACAAGUUAUCGCAUAGUCUGUAACUGAAAGCCUAUACAAGCACGAAUGUCGCUCUGGUAAACCCCAUUAGUCUUUCCUAACACAUCUAUUUUUGACAAGUUUUAAUCAAAUUCGUAUUUUAUAAUGCAAACUUGCAAAGUAGUUGUUCUUUGUGACUUUAAGUCAUUAAUUCAUAUGCUGUUAUUUGACAGGUUGGAUAAAAUGAGACAUAGCAAAGAGAAUUUCAAUUCAAAAUUAUAUUAGGAAACUGAAUAGAUGCUGAGAUAUGUUAGGAGCAGAUGAUGGACAAACUUUCCUUCAUGCCUAUUUGUGUAACAUAAUGUCAUAGGCUAACACCUGAGAAUAAUAUCAAUUCAUUCAAUGAUAUUUAAUUUAUGAAUCCAUAUACUCCCAAAAUGGAAAAGUAUUGUGUAUAUUCAUAUUCCAUAUUAUCACACAUACAUAUAUCAAAACAUAAUUUUAGAAACAACAAAAUGUUGAUUUAAUAAUAAAAGGUUCUACUAAAUCUCUACAAAAAUAAAAAAUUUAAAGAUUCAAUUUUUGAAAGAUAAAAAAAUUAAUUCAUUAGUCUGUGAGAGAGAAUACCUUUUAUAAUUCCAUAAAAAACAUAUCUUUAACUACUUCAUAUUAUAAAGUAUAUUUGUCACUCCAUUAUUCAAUAUUUCUAAACAACAAUUUAGGCAAAUAUGCUUUUUCAUCCCUUUAAUUUAUUUAUAUCUAUAAUUUCUCUUACUCUUAAACCAAACCAAACAUUGCUUUACUCACUCUACACUCUCAUCCAUGGCUUCCACCAACGGCAACAACACUCCUCCCCCAAGGUAAUUAAAGCUUCCACCUUUUUCAUUCUUUAUUCUUAUGUGACAGAUAUGAGCUAUUUGCACAUAUAUGGAACGGGAUCUCAAUCCUCUUUUAUAAGUUGUUCAAUGGCAAUGGUCAUACAAAGAGAUAUAAACAUAAAGACUCCCAUAUGCUUUGUUUUAUGUAAUAUCUGUGUGUUCAUAUGUUUUUUAAUAUUCUUUUCAUGUUAUCUUGGCAUGAAAAAUAACUCACAUGAUAGAGGAUCUUUGGACCCGUUUGAUAGCAACAAUAGUUACAUAUAUAUUGCAUGAUUUAAGAUAAAUAUUACUACCCAUUAUUCAAUUUUGUUACGGUAGAAGAGGUGAUGGUCACAACGACGAAUAAAGAUUAUUUGUCCCGAGAAAUCAUGUCUCUAUCCAAUCAAAUUAUAAAUCUAACAUAAUUUUGCUUUUAUGAUUUUUUAUUUAAUUGAAUGACACAUUGUAAUUGGUGAAGGACAUAAUCUGAGACAAAGGAUCUCCAUUCUACAACAACAUUGAUGAGGUAAUAGUGACAAUUGUCUUCAGUUGCCAAAAAAUUACUAGUGUUAAUUUUUCCAUUUGAUUUCAUUCCACAUAUUAUAUCCACCAAUACUCAACUUAAACACUUCAUACUUUAAUUUCAUUUCAUUUCAUUUCUAAAUCUCCUGUGUCAAUAUAUGUUAUAUAAAGCCUUAAAAAUAUAUUAGGUGAUAUAAACUUGUUACACUCACAAGAGAAAUGUGUAGCCAAUUUAGCACCUUGCUAAUGAGGCUUGUAGUGGUAUUUACCCUUUUAGAUAGCAUUACUCGUAAGUUUUCUAACCUAGUUUGUGAAGCUGUUUGUGGGAUUAUUCUUAAAAAGUUUAUUGAAAAUUCUAAGAAGCAAUUUACCAUUUAUAAACGAAGGAGAAACAUUGUUGUUCACCAAUCACAUUACAUUUUAAUAAUAAAAAAUAAACAAAUGAUGAUAUGUUGUAGAUAGACUUACCAUAUAUAGUUAAAAGUAGAAAGUAGAAUGCAUCCAUCUCACCAUUCCCUUAAUUUCAUGCACUCCACACAUAUCUUACAUAUACUUCAUGGUUUCCUCUCAUUCUUUCUCACCACUCCUUGUGUUGUUUGGAUCUUUCUUUUUCUCUUCCAAACACACACAGGUGAUUUUCUCAUGGAUUAAAGGUUUUAAAAUACCCAUAAUUAAUUAAUUGAGACUAUAAUAUUGUGGUUUACUCGGCCAUAUUUUGAGAGUAUAAUAUCAUAUUUCAUCCACAAUUGUAGUAAAUUUACCUUAACUAUACAAUUUAAAACCUUGGAAUGGAUUCCAUGAAUAGGAACCAGCAUCAUCACCUUCAAGAGGGUAUCAUGCUUCUUCUUUCCCGCUGGUAUGCCCUUCAAAUGGCCAUUAAGAACCAAUGGGGUGGCUCUGAUUCCC
rnacentral:lncRNA from 1 species